GGAGAGUAUGACGACUUGGUAGCGUCCGCGGACUUCAAAUCCGAUGAAAGUGCGAUUGAUCGUGCUUUGGGGGGUUCGAUUCCCUCACUCUCUCGCCA
rnacentral:tRNA from 1 species